GAACCAUGCAGAUAUUAGUGUACAUAAGUAGAAAGUGGUAGCGAGUUGUUCCAUCUUAGUACAAUAAAAAUGGGGAAACAUAGUAGCCAAAAUAAUAGGACACUAGGACCCAACUGGUAGCUAAAAUGGCUAGAUUCAAAUUGGUAGUCUCUGAUGACGAGCACUGCAACACCAAAACAGAAAAACAUAUGUAGCCACAAGUCUGUCACACGCUUCAACAACAACCGGACUUGAUCCAGAGCAUUUCAUCCAACAUCACAGAAGCACCAAAUAGCAG
rnacentral:lncRNA from 1 species